rnacentral:rRNA from 1 species
AGCGAACGCUGGCGGCAGGCUUAACACAUGCAAGUCGAACGCCAUCUUCGGAUGGAGUGGCAGACGGGUGAGUAACGCGUGGGAACGUACCCUUUGGUUCGGAAUAUUCUCGGGAAACUGGGAGCAAUACCGGAUAAGCCCUACGGGGGAAAGAUUUAUCGCCAAAGGAGCGGCCCGCGUCAGAUUAGGUAGUUGGUGGGGUAAAGGCCUACCAAGCCUACGAUCUGUAGCUGGCCUGAGAGGAUGAUCAGCCACACUGGGACUGAGACACGGCCCAGACUCCUACGGGAGGCAGCAGUGGGGAAUCUUGGACAAUGGGCGCAAGCCUGAUCCAGCCAUGCCGCGUGGAUGAUGAAGGCCUUAGGGUUGUAAAAUCCUUUCAACGGGGACGAUAAUGACGGUACCCGUAGAAGAAGCCCCGGCUAACUUCGUG